rnacentral:tRNA from 1 species
AGGUGCGUACCCAAGCGGUCAACGGGGACAGACUCAAAAUCUGCUGGUUAGUCCUUCGUGGGUUCGAAUCCCACCGCACCUA